CAACAUAAACCAUGUUUUCUGUAGCUCUGCUGCUGCUGUUGGCAGCUGGAUGUGUGAAGUGUGAACAGUUGACACAGCCAGCCUCUGUGACUGUGCAGCCAGGUCAACGUCUGACCAUCACCUGUCAGGUCUCUUAUUCUCUUAGCAGCUACUACACAGCCUGGAUCAGACAGCCUGCAGGGAAAGGACUGGAGUGGAUUGGAAUGAAAAGUACUGGAGCUUCAUAUUACAAAGAUUCACUAAAGAACAAGUUCAGUAUCGACUUAGACUCUUCCAGCAAAAUAGUAACUCUAAACGGACAGAAUGUGCAGCCUGAAGACACUGCUGUGUAUUACUGUGCCAGAUAUCCACAGUGAGAGACAACAACAGGAGAGCUGU